UUCUCUUAGAAUUCAUUAAGAGUAAACCCUGCUCAAUGAAUUUUAAAUAGCCGCAGACAACUGUGUUAAAGUAGCAUAAUAAUUUGCCUUUUAAUUGAGGGCUAGAAUGAAAGGGUAUACCUAAUACAUUCUGUCUCUUCCCUUAAUCUUGAAUCUAAAUUUAUAGUAAAAAUGCUAUUAAAAAUAAAAAGGACGACAAGACCCUAUCAAACUUAACUAAAGUUUAGCUGGGGCGGCAAAAAAGAAAAUCUUUUUUAAACUUAUCUAAAUUAUUAAAUCAACAAGUUACUGUAGGGAUAACAGCACAAUUUAUUUCUAGAGCACAUAUCUAAAAAUAAGAUUAUGACCUCGAUGUUGAAUAAAUUCCCUAAUUCACGCACCCGUGAAAAUAGUAAGUCUGUUCGACUUUUAAAAAUUUACA
rnacentral:rRNA from 1 species